UAGGGAAUCUUCCACAAUGGACGCAAGUCUGAUGGAGCAACGCCGCGUGAGUGAAGAAGGUCUUCGGAUCGUAAAGCUCUGUUGUUGGUGAAGAAGGAUAGAGGCAGUAACUGGUCUUUAUUUGACGGUAAUCAACCAGAAAGUCACGGCUAACUACGUGCCAGCAGCCGCGGUAAUACGUAGGUGGCAAGCGUUGUCCGGAUUUAUUGGGCGUAAAGCGAGCGCAGGCGGAAUGAUAAGUCUGAUGUGAAAGCCCACGGCUCAACCGUGGAACUGCAUCGGAAACUGUCAUUCUUGAGUGCAGAAGAGGAGAGUGGAACUCCAUGUGUAGCGGUGGAAUGCGUAGAUAUAUGGAAGAACACCAGUGGCGAAGGCGGCUCUCUGGUCUGCAACUGACGCUGAGGCUCGAAAGCAUGGGUAGCGAACAGGAUUAGAUACCCUGGUAGUCCAUGCCGUAAAACGAUGAGCGCUAGGUGUUGGGGACUUUCCGGUCCUCAGUGCCGCAGCAAACGCAUUAAGCGCUCCGCCUGGGGAGUACGACCGC
rnacentral:rRNA from 1 species